rnacentral:misc_RNA from 1 species
UAAAUAAAAAUCGAGGUGUUGCUUUUUUGCGACGUCAUCGGAAUUGGGUUAUCUUUCGUCCCUCUGGAUUUAAGAGACCUAAAAUUGAUACCUUGUGCAUCUCAAGACGUACAUAAGAAUUAUAUUUUUUAUCCGUCCGGAGUGCCAAUUUUUUAUUAGGUAUGACCAUUUUUUGUGGUAUCGUGCCUAUAACAAAACUCAU